UACGGGGGGGGGCAAGCGUUGUCCGGAAUUACUGGGCGUAAAGGGCUCGUAGGCGGCCAACUAAGUCGGAUGUGAAAUCCCCAGGCUUAACCUGGGAACUGCAUCCGAUACUGGAUGGCUUGAAUCCGGGAGAGGGAUGCGGAAUUCCAGGUGUAGCGGUGAAAUGCGUAGAUAUCUGGAGGAACACCGGUGGCGAAGGCGGCAUCCUGGACCGGCAUUGACGCUGAGGAGCGAAAGCCAGGGGAGCAAACGGG
rnacentral:rRNA from 1 species